CCGCCGGCGACCGGCGCACGGGUGAGUAACACGUAUGCAACCUGCCCCUGUCAGGGGGACAACUCGCCGAAAGGCGGGCUAAACCCGCGUACAUGCCACCGGGGCAUCCCGGAGGCAGGAAAGGCUUCGGCCGGACAGGGAUGGGCAUGCGGCGCAUUAGGCAGUAGGCGGGGUAACGGCCCACCUAACCGACGAUGCGUAGGGGUUCUGAGAGGAAGGUCCCCCACACUGGUACUGAGACACGGACCAGACUCCUACGGAAGGCAGCAG
rnacentral:rRNA from 1 species